rnacentral:tRNA from 1 species
AUAGGUAUGUUGGAAUUGGUAGACAAAUCCGUUUUAGGCACGGAUGAUAGUAAUAUUGUGUAGGUUCAAGUCCUACUACCUAUA